AGCAUCCUGCCUGCAUUCUGGUCCCCCACCAACAAUGACAGACCCCACGUCUGCAUUAGGAUGAAAAGUUGGCUGUACCUUGACUUAUUCAACCCAGGCUUUGAGACCCAAGUGAGGCAGGCGGCAGAUGAGCUCUGGAGCAAGUGGACGGACCUUCGUGGCUGUCGCUCCGAAUGUUAACGACACCCAAGGAGAGCCCCUGGAAUUUUCCCUAACACUGAUAAAACCCAGAUUUAGUGCCGCUCAUAAAACACAUGGCAAAUUGUGCACUUAUAGGGAUCCACUGCAGGACCUGGAAAUAGGAAUCGGCUCCACUAAAUUUCCAUCUCAAAUACCACCGCCAGGCGAUGAGGAUUUGUUUUCCACCCACUUGCAACUCGGUGGGUGGGUGGAAAUUUUGAUCCUAAUCACUCCUUCUAAAAAGGAAAACAGUAUUAGGUUAUUUUGAAAUUAGCUUUUAUAACAGGCUUAUUGGGUAAAACACAGCAGAAAAAUCUCUACGUGUUCUAUAAAUUUUAAUUUACUGAUAAGACUACAUCACCGGUUCACAGUGGAGUGUCUAAAUAUCAGUCUUCUAAAUCAUGCUAUUGGCUUAAAUAUAUAUGUAUAUACAUAGUUUGAAAAUCUGCAAGCUACGAGGCAAUCAGUGUUAUCAUUGGAUUAGCUGGUUCAUAAGUCUCCUUUCCGCUCUCAUAAGCCUGGAAGAAAAGUCCUUUCACAUGCAAUUGAACCCAAAGUUCAUAUCCUUAUGCAUCCUGCUAAUUAUCUCAAUAUCCUGUUAACGUUUUAACUGGAGGAGUCUGGGCUACUAUGAAUUUAACAAAAUCGUGUACAGGACUGUUUCUUCUACAGUUUUGUUAAUUCCAACAGAUAACUUCUCGUUCAUUUUGAUACUUUUUAUGUCUGUUUCAGUCCUGACUACUUUUUUAAAACCUACUUCAUUGGGGAUGCCACUCAAAACACGAUGUCAGAAGACUUCCGGUCCCUGGUGGUCACACGAGAAAGACUUCGCCUUUUGAUUGAAAA